UACGUAGGGCGCAAGCGUUGUCCGGAAUUAUUGGGCGUAAAGAGCUCGUAGGCGGUUUGUCGCGUCUGCUGUGAAAACCUAAGGCUCAACCUUGGGCUUGCAGUGGGUACGGGCAGACUAGAGUGCGGUAGGGGUGACUGGAAUUCCUGGUGUAGCGGUGGAAUGCGCAGAUAUCAGGAGGAACACCGAUGGCGAAGGCAGGUCACUGGGCCGCAACUGACGCUGUGGAGCGAAAGCAUGGGGAGCGAACAGG
rnacentral:rRNA from 1 species